rnacentral:sRNA from 1 species
GCAACAAAUAAAACACCAGAACUAUCAGCACACUCAGCGUCCCGGACACCAGAAACCAUGACGUCAUCGCUGAAAUUGGACAUUUUCGUAGUCAAGUGCGACUCCUAGAGACCCACUUCAAUUUCCAGACUUCAAUACUGUCGUAAAAAAUGAGUCGGGAGUGUUCAAUGAAAAAGUGUCAACAAUUAUGAAAAAAAAAAGCUUCAAAACACUGACCGAUCCCUGUGUCGCUUGUGAGUGGGCCUCCCCAUAUUAAGACAUCGUUCUACUAACAAGCUAUUCGCACUACGAAUGUCGUUUUGAUUGAUGCUGCUAACAGAUAUGAGUGCAUCCUACGCUAAUAAAAACUUGUUUCCAAAA